GAUGAAGAACGUAGCAAAAUGCGAUAAGUAAUGUGAAUUGCAGAAUUCAGUGAAUCAUCGAAUCUUUGAACGCACAUUGCGCCCGCUGGUAUUCCGGUGGGCAUGCCUGUUCGAGCGUCAUUUCAACCCUCAAGCCCCCGGGUUUGGUGUUGGGGAUCGGCUCUGCCCUUCUGGGCGGUGCCGCCCCCGAAAUACAUUGGCGGUCUCGCUGCAGCCUCCAUUGCGUAGUAGCUAACACCUCGCAACUGGAACGCGGCGCGGCCAUGCCGUAAAACCCCAACUUCUGAAUGUUGACCUCGGAUCAGGUAGGAAUACCCGCUGAACUUAAGCAUAUCAAUAAGCGGAGGA
rnacentral:misc_RNA from 1 species